rnacentral:rRNA from 1 species
UACGAAGGGGGCUAGCGUUGCUCGGAAUUACUGGGCGUAAAGCGCACGUAGUCGGCUUUGCAAGUCGGGUGUGAAAUCCCCGGGCUCAACCUGGGAACUGCAUCCGAGACUGCAUUGCUAGAGUAUGGGAGAGGGAAGCGGAAUUUCUGGUGUAGCAGUGAAAUGCGUAGAUAUCAGAAGGAACAUCAGUGGCGAAGGCGGCUUCCUGGACCAAUACUGACGAUCAGGUGCGAAAGCGUGGGGAGCAAACGGG